AUGAGUCGACUUGAUGGGAUCAACAUCCCCGAUGGCAAGUUCUACCUUGGAGAUGCUGGCUAUGCAUGUCGGCCGGGUAUUCUUCCACCCUUCAGGAAAACGAGGUACCAUCUCAACGAGUUCUCUGGUAGGAACUAUCCUAGGACUGCACAGGAGUUGUUUAAUCUCAGACGCUCCGGCCUUAGAGUAACUGUUGAGAGGGCAUUUGGAGCUCUGAAGAAUAGGUUUAAGAUCCUAGAUCAGAAGCCAUUCCACCCAUACUCCACUUAG
rnacentral:rRNA from 1 species